AAAGUCGUAACAAGGUUUCCGUAGGUGAACCUGCGGAAGGAUCAUUACCACUGUGUUGUGCUUUUGCUGGUUUUCAUUUUAACGAAUGAAACCACGAAACACAAUAUAAACAAAAUCUACUUUUAUCAAAUCAUGUGUGGAAGAAAAGCAAUUGAUCUUGUGUUUGGAUGGUCUUUUUUCGUUGUUAACCAAUGCAGAAAAACUUGAAGAACACUUUUUUUGCUAAACACAAAUUUCUAUACCAAACGUCUACUGACAGUUUUUUUCGGAAAACAUUUUUUUUUAUUUGUGUUUUUUUCGUAAGGAAAAGAAACCACAGAAACAAAAAACGAAAAAAAAACUUUUAACGGUGGAUCUCUUGGCUCGU
rnacentral:misc_RNA from 1 species